rnacentral:rRNA from 1 species
AGGGUUUGAUCCUGGCUCAGGAUGAACGCUGGCGGCGUGCUUAACACAUGCAAGUCGAACGGAGGACCCUUGACGGAGUUUUCGGACAACUGAUAGGAAUCCUUAGUGGCGGACGGGUGAGUAACGCGUGAGGAACCUGCCUUGGAGUGGGGAAUAACAGCUGGAAACAGCUGCUAAUACCGCAUGAUGCAUUUGGGUCGCAUGAUUCUGAAUGCCAAAGAUUUAUCGCUCUGAGAUGGCCUCGCGUCUGAUUAGCUAGUUGGUGGGGUAACGGCUCACCAAGGCGACGAUCAGUAGCCGGACUGAGAGGUUGGCCGGCCACAUUGGGACUGAGACACGGCCCAG